CCCCCCCCCCCCUUUUUUUUUUUUUUUUUUUUUUUUUUUUUUUUUUUUUUUUUUUUUUUUUUUUUCUUCUUUUUUCUCCUAUUUUUUUUUUUUUUUAAAGUUUCCAUGUUGAAAUGCGGAUAAUUUAUUCCAGCGGUUCUAUUUAUACAGAUUCAAAGGUUUCGCGCAGGGGUUAGAAGUAGAACUAGGCUUUGUGUGGGAAAAUUCUUAGAUGGCCAGCACGAGAAGAGAACACUGCUGGGCUGCGGUUAUGGAGUAUUUGCGUUCCAAUCGUCGGAGCGGUGGUGAGAGAGGAAGGAACAGCGCAGUCGGAGAGCAGGGGAGAAGGAAAGAAGGGAUAAUU